CUAGCGCUUUAACGUCACGCUUGUCGCUUUGCAAAGUUCAACAUGAAUUUACUGCCGAAAUCAACGAAAGAUUUUGGCUCAAAACGCUACUGGGACAGUUUUUUUGAGAAACGUAAAGAUGCUUUUGAAUGGUAUGGAGAAUAUUCCGACCUAUGUGGUGUACUUCAUAAAUACUGUAAGCCUAAAGAUCGAGUACUAGUUGCAGGU